rnacentral:tRNA from 1 species
GCAGUGGUGGUUCAGUGGUAGAAUUCUCACCUUCUAUGCAGGAGACCAGGGUUGAUUCCCUGCCAAUGCG